UUCGAGUGGCGGACGGUGAGUAACGCGUGGGUAACCUGCCUUACACAGGGGGAUAACACCUGGAAACAGGUGCUAAUACCGCAUAAGCGCACAGGGCCGCAUGGCCCGGUGUGAAAACUCCGGUGGUGUAAGAUGGACCCGCGUCUGAUUAGCUUGUUGGCGGGGUAGGGGCCCACCAAGGCGACGAUCAGUAGCCGGCCUGAGAGGGUGGACGGCCACAUUGGGACUGAGACACGGCCCAAACUCCUACGGGAGGCAGCAG
rnacentral:rRNA from 1 species